GCUAGAGUGCAAUGGCAUGAUCUUGGCUCACUGCAGCCUCCACCUCCUGGGUUCAAGUGAUUCUCGUGCCUCAGUCUCCCAAGUAGCUGGGAUUACAGGCUGGAGCACGAUGGCAUGAUCAUGGCUCACGGCAAACUCCGCCUCCCUGGUUCAAGUGAUUCUCCUGCCUCAGCCUCCUGAGUAGCUGGGAUUACAGGCAUGUGCCACCAUGCCCCGUUGGCCAGGCUGGUCUCGAACACCUUACCUCAGGUGAUCCUCCCGCCUUUGGGAUUACAGGCUGAGGAAUUACCAAGGAGGCAGGAGGUGGAGCAAAACACACCAAGCCUGAUGCCAGUCAUUGACAAUAUUAUGGAACUGACUCAGCGCAAGAAGACAGCUUCGACUCCUUAUGAUUUCAUCCCUAACCAAUCAGCACUCCUGGCUCACUGGCUUCCCCCAACCCACCAAAUUGUCCUUAAAAACUCUGCUCUCCAAAUGCUGGGGGAGACUGACUUGAGUAGUAAUAAAACUCUGGUCUCCCGC
rnacentral:lncRNA from 1 species